UUCCUCAUCCACGGCUGUGCCCCUGGUGCUGUGUGAACCUUCCCCAGUAGUUGUUGAUCUAACGCUUAAUAGAGGAGUGCUUUGUAGUCAGCGGUGUGGGUGAGUCUGCCGUCUGCUGCCUGAAGCGGGUGUUACUGUGUGAGGGACCUAGGAGCGACUCUGGAUUAUUACAUAAGCAGGACAGGCCCUGGGAGCUCAGGAGAGGCCGAGCCACAUGGUGCGACUGAGGUGGAGCUGGAUUUGCAGAAGUUCAUACAGAUGACAUAGAAGGCAUGGGAAACACCCACAGCCUGUGGAGGAGGACUCUAAUGGAAACCUAAAGAAAAACCCUCCUGCCACUGGGGGAAGACCAGCGUGUUGCAGGAAAUCAGUCCUCCUCGGAGCUGCAGGAGGUGAAAUGAAUCCUCUCCCAGACCUAUCCUUGUAGACUGGCCUGAAGCAGAGGAAGCCCCGACAGACAGUAGGUCACAUGAGCAGACAUCACAUGUAUUUUGUAUGACACUGUGAUAUGACAGUCUAUCCUGGGCUACUGAAAUUUUAGAAUUUGCUUCUCGGGAACAUAAACUGAAUACAUACCUAUCUGUAAUCCCAUCCUGAGCUUCUACUCUUAUUACCAAAUGAAUUAAAAAGCACAUAUGCAUGUAUGCUUAUUCACAUGUAAUGCAUGUGACAUGGUAAAUACAUGCUAUGUAAGCA